UCACCGCCCGCUACGAGUCCACUGCCUAAUUCACCAGCAAGCACUGUGCUGCAAAGUGUUGAAGUGGGAUUCUGUAAUGAAGGUUGUGGUGUCGUGCAUAAACUUCAUCAGAGCAAAGGGACUUAAACACAGGCAGUUCCAAGAAUUCCUGUCUGAACUGGAGUCUACGCACGGAGAUGUGCUGUACUACACAGAGGUCCGAUGGCUGAGCCGGGGCAGAGUUUUGAGGCGUUUUUACGAGCUGCUACCCGAAAUUAACGCAUUUCUUCAUUUAAAAGACAAAACGGUCCCAGAGCUGAUCGACCCAGAAUGGAAAUGGCACCUCGCAUUUUUAACAGACGUGACAGAAAUACUUAACAGCCUUAACUUGCAGCUACAAGGCGAGGGGAAACUCAUUUGCGACAUGUAUUCACACAUAAAAGCAUUUGAGGUGAAAUUAGCACUGCUUUGGGAACAAGUGAAAAAGCGCAACUUCGUCCAUCUGGAGUUCGGUGUGCGUUUCAGUGAACUACAUGUUCAUGCAAAAGAAAUCCGUCUUUUUCAGAACCCCUUUGUUGCCGACAUUGAUGAAGCCCAGCCUUCAUAUCAGUUUGAGUUGGCUGAGUUACAGAACUGUGAUGUUCUGAAAGACGCAUUCAAGCCCAACAGUCUCAUUGACUUCUAUGCCGCCCUCCCAAACGACACAUAUCCAAACAUCAAAAAACACGCAAUGAAAAUGUCCACAGUUUUUGGCAGCACGUAUAUCUGCGAGAAAACCUUUUCGCAUGAAACUGCUGAAAACCCCGAUGAGAUCAAGAUUGACAGAUGAACAUUUGCAUCAGUGCUUGAGACUGGCUGUAACUAGAAUGGAACCUGAUAUUCAACUUCUCACCAGCCAGAUGCAGGCCCACAGUUCACACUGAUGAACAUACAUAGGGAAGUUGAUGAGAGAGAGCUGCAAACAGCGGUGUCUACAAGCCUACUGGAACCUACAAAAAGAUUAUAAGGAAGGAACACAAGAACUUUAAGAGACUGCUCAUAUGUGUCAGAGAGAUUCUGCUCUGACAACUGAGCUGAACUUUUAUCUGUUAAGAUUGUGCAUGGCACGACAGAAAGUUAAUGUUCCAUGGCUUUUUUUUCUAUGAAGAACCCAGAGAGAGUUAUUUAGUUAUUAUUUAUUUCCUGUUUUUUUCUGUGAAGAACUCAGAGAGGGUUAUUUAGUUAUUAUUUAUUUCAUUAAUAGUGUUAUUAUUUGUUUCCUGACUUUUUUUCUGUAAAGAACCUGGAAAGGGUUAUUUGGUUAUGUGUGGCUUUCUGGAAAACAAUGAAUUUUUUAAGCUCCCCUACGAUCGUCACACUUUUUCUGUUACAAACUGACACCGGCCCCCCAUCAGAGAAGGGAAAAGUUAUGUGGCCCUCACAGGAAAAAGUUUGGGGACCCCUGGUUUAGAUGAUCAAUUAUGUAUACAUUAAUGAUUAGAACCAUUUAUGCUAAUACUAUUAUGUUAUGAUUUGAAAAGUAUGGGUUUUUAGUUGAACUGUUACUGAAAAUGUAAGCAGAAAUGAAUUGUGUCUGUGUCUCCUGGGAAAGUUUAAGAAGGAGGGAUAAGAUAGUUUUUCAAACAGAUAAGAAUGUUUUGGUUGGAUUCCAUUAGUGGAGAGAAGUAUAUCCUUUAGACAGGUUGGAAUGUAGUUUAUGAGGGGAGUGAAACUAUCUCCAGGACCGAAUACUACGCCAUUGUGAGGCUGGGAGAGGGUGUGAAACUGAUGACGUCAUUUUAUGUCUUCUUUCUUUAAAAUGUAAUGUUCUUUGUAUUUUGGGUCAGUACUCUCUCGUAAUAAACGCUGUUACCUUUGGCUU